rnacentral:tRNA from 1 species
CAAAGUGUAGCUUAAGUCCCAAAUAAGCUUUGCUGUUUGUUGCUUUGGUAGUUUCUUUCAUCCUUCCCUUG